GAUCCUGGCUCAGAUUGAACGCUGGCGGCAGGCUUAACACAUGCAAGUCGAGCGGGGGAAGGUAGCUUGCUACCGGACCUAGCGGCGGACGGGUGAGUAAUGCUUAGGAAUCUGCCUAUUAGUGGGGGACAACAUCUCGAAAGGGAUGCUAAUACCGCAUACGUCCUACGGGAGAAAGCAGGGGAUCUUCGGACCUUGCGCUAAUAGAUGAGCCUAAGUCGGAUUAGCUAGUUGGUGGGGUAAAGGCCUACCAAGGCGACGAUCUGUAGCGGGUCUGAGAGGAUGAUCCGCCACACUGGGACUGAGACACGGCCCAGACUCCUACGGGAGGCAGCAGUGGGGAAUAUUGGACAAUGGGGGGAACCCUGAUCCAGCCAUGCCGCGUGUGUGAAGAAGGCCUUAUGGUUGUAAAGCACUUUAAGCGAGGAGGAGGCUACUUUAGUUAAUACCUAGAGAUAGUGGACGUUACUCGCAGAAUAAGCACCGGCUAACUCUGUGCCAGCAGCCGCGGUUAAUAA
rnacentral:rRNA from 1 species